rnacentral:rRNA from 1 species
GACGAACCGAGCGAACGUUAUUCGGAAUCACUGGGCUUAAAGGGUGCGUAGGCGGGCUGUCAAGUCUGGGGUGAAAUCCCACGGCUCAACCGUGGAACUGCCUUAGAUACUGAUGGCCUCGAGGAAGGUAGGGGCAUGCGGAACUGUAGGUGGAGCGGUGAAAUGCGUUGAUAUCUACAGGAACUCCGGUGGCGAAAGCGGCGUGCUGGACCUUUUCUGACGCUGAGGCACGAAAGCUAGGGGAGCAAACAGG